rnacentral:rRNA from 1 species
GACAGAGGAUGCAAGCGUUAUCCGGAAUGAUUGGGCGUAAAGCGUCUGUAGGUGGUUUAUUAAGUCUACUGUUAAAGAUCAGGGCUUAACCCUGAGCAGGCAAUAGAAACUAAUAAGCUAGAGUACGGUAGGGGCAGAGGGAAUUCCCGGCGUAGCGGUGAAAUGCGUAGAGAUCGGGAAGAACACCAACGGCGAAAGCACUCUGCUGGGCCGAAACUGACACUGAGAGACGAAAGCUAGGGGAGCAAAUGGG